GAGCACCCGUUUCAUUAGCUAGUUGGAGGGGGAACGGCCCACCCACGCGACGAUCUUUAGCUGGUUUGAGAGGAGGAUCAUCCACACUGGGAGUGAGGCACGGCCCCGACUUCUCCGGGGGGGGGCAGUGGGGGAGUUUCCGCAAAGGGGGAAAACCCCACGGAGCAAGACCCCCUGAGGGGGGAAGGCCUCCCGGUGGUAAACCUCUUUUUAUAUGGAAGAAAAAAAUGACGGUACCUAUCGAAUCAGCAUCGGCUAAUCCGUGCCAGCAGCCGCGGUAAUACGGAGGAGGCCCGCGUUUCCGGAAUUAUUGGGGGUGAAGCCCCGUAGGUGGUUAUUCAAGUCAGCUGUUAAAGGGUGGAGCUUAACUCCAUAUAGGAAGUUGAAACUGCUUAGCUAGAGUGCGAUAGGGGCAAGGGGAAUUCCCACUUAGCGGCGAAAAGUGAAGUUUUUUGAAGAACAUCGGUGGCGAAAGCGCCUAUCUGUGUCUUCACUGACAUCCCUUGGACC
rnacentral:rRNA from 1 species